CGGCCUGAUUUUUUUCUUUUAAAUUAGUUAUGAAUGAAUAAUGUUUGUAUAAUUUAGCUUUUAAUACUGCCUAUCAUCAGAAGAGGUAAAAAUAAUUUCUCUAUAUAUGUUUUUAUUGUAUAAAAUAUGAUAAAAACUGCUGCGAAGCAUACAAACCAUUUUCUAUUAGGAGGAUAUCCCAUGCAGGAAGUAGAAUGGGAAUAAAUAUUUAAUGAGAUAAAGGAAUACAAGAAAAUCUCUAAUUGUUGAAAAGGAACUUGUAUUUUUAGUAUGCAUUUAUCAAUUUUUUAUUAGCACAUGUUAGCAGUGUACAGUGAUUGCAUUCACUGUGAGUUGUGCCAUAUUUUAAAAUUCUAUUUGGGGGUAGGUGUGUAAAAAGGUCAAACAUUAAGUGUUUGUGGGGAGAAGACUGAACAUUCGGGAGCCCUAAUGAGUGCAUUGAACCCUUGGAAAAGAGGAAAAGAUACUGAAAGGAAAUGCAAGAAGGAGGAGGCCUGUAAAUCAGGCAUUUGCCCUCUCUGUCUGGACAGCAGCAAGCCUGUCUCCGGGACGGUUUCCUGAGGCCCUCGGGCAGGAAAAGCGAGAUAAACUGUCGCCUUUAUAACCUUAUGCUGAGUUUCAGUUUUCCCAGAUAAGAGUGGGCAGGAAAUUGAGUAACAGCUUCACCUGCUACAAGUGCUGGAGAUACACACCCAUGAAGGCAGCGCCUUACGAUGCACUGAGAGCUGCUCUCCUGUCAUAUUAGUUUUGGUUUUCUAGGUGCUAUAAUCUGGAUUAUAAAACACCGGAACAAACAGAGAGCAUUCGUUCAUGAAGCAGUGUGUUGGAAGUGAGUCUGUGGGGAGCCUAGCAUGGCUGCUGUGGCUCAGGCUGUGCACAGAGGCGACGGCCUCAGUCACACCUGCAGCCGGGUCCUGGGGAAGUGGGCAGAAAUCAGCUGGAAAAGCAGGCACCUCUCGGGUGUGAGGGCCCUGUGCUUCCUUCCAGGGAGUGUGGAGAUUUGUCUGACAGCACGGAAAGUGGAAGGGUUUAGACGGAGCACGCACUGCGUGGGGAGGCUGGCUGUGAGAGAGCCUCGUGCCAGAGACCCUGUGAGCGCCUCACUGUCCUAGGACCACUGCUGCCUCGCCACCCGCUGCUCCUCCGGUUACUGUGUGUGCCCAGCUCCGAGCCCCG
rnacentral:lncRNA from 1 species